rnacentral:rRNA from 1 species
GACGAACGCUGGCGGCGUGCCUAAUACAUGCAAGUCGAACGAGAGCGACCGGUGCUUGCACUGGUCAAUCUAGUGGCGAACGGGUGAGUAACACGUGGGUAACCUGCCCAUCAGAGGGGGAUAACAUCCGGAAACGGAUGCUAAAACCGCAUAGGUCUUCGAGCCGCAUGGCUUGAAGAGGAAAAGAGGCGCAAGCUUCUGCUGAUGGAUGGACCCGCGGUGCAUUAGCUAGUUGGUGAGGUAACGGCUCACCAAGGCCGUGAUGCAUAGCCGACCUGAGAGGGUGAUCGGCCACAUUGGGACUGAGACACGGCCCAAACUCCUACGGGAGGCAGCAGUAGGGAAUCUUCCGCAAUGGACGCAAGUCUGACGGAGCAACGCCGCGUGAGUGAAGAAGGUUUUCGGAUCGUAAAACUCUGUUGUUAGAGAAGAACAAGUGCUGGAGUAACUGUUAGCGCCUUGACGGUAUCUAACCAGAAAGCCACGGCUAACUACGUG